GAUGAACGCUGGCGGCGUGCCUAAUACAUGCAAGUCGAACGCGCAGCGAGAGGUGCUUGCACCUUUCAAGCGAGUGGCGAACGGGUGAGUAACACGUGGAUAACCUGCCUCAAGGCUGGGGAUAACAUUUGGAAACAGAUGCUAAUACCGAAUAAAACUUAGUAUCGCAUGAUAUAAAGUUAAAAGGCGCUACGGCGUCACCUAGAGAUGGAUCCGCGGUGCAUUAGUUAGUUGGUGGGGUAAAGGCUUACCAAGACAAUGAUGCAUAGCCGAGUUGAGAGACUGAGCGGCCACAUUGGGACUGAGACACGGCCCAAACUCCUACGGGAGGCUGCAGUAGGGAAUCUUCCACAAUGGGCGCAAGCCUGAUGGAGCAACGCCGCGUGUGUGAUGAAGGCUUUCGGGUCGUAAAGCACUGUUGUAUGGGAAGAAAUGCAAAAAUAGGGAAUGAUUUUGGUUUGACGGUACCAUACCAGAAAGGGACGGCUAAAUACGUGCCAGCAGCCGCCGUAA
rnacentral:rRNA from 1 species